UACGUAGGGGGCAAGCGUUGUCCGGAUUUAUUGGGCGUAAAGAGCGUGUAGGCGGCCAGGUAGGUCCGCUGUGAAAACUCGAGGCUCAACCUCGAGAUGUCGGCGGAAACCAUCUGGCUAGAGUCCGGAAGAGGAGAGUGGAAUUCCUGGUGUAGCGGUGAAAUGCGCAGAUAUCAGGAAGAACACCCGUGGCGAAGGCGGCAUCCUGGACCAACACUGACGCUGAGUGAGCGAAAGCCAGGGGAGCAAACGGG
rnacentral:rRNA from 1 species